AGUGAGAUAAUUUGCGCUCAGGUGUACAACAGUACUGUGAAAAUGUUUAAUACUCCCUUUUAUUUAUGCCAUGUCGUUGCGGUGAGACAACCGGCGCGCACUUGGAGCUGCCGUCGAAUCGACAGGGCAGACUUCUAAUCAUGAAAACUGAUAUAAAAAAAAGGCCGUCAUAUAGCACUACGAGGCAAUGGUUGCAAAGCCCAGCCCUUAAGUAAACUAAAAUGAUCCUUUGAGCAGCUACAAUCAUUCCAUACACGAUAAUAAGCAAAAGCAGAAGACACUUCAAAGUUUUUUUAUUGACAGUCACAUAAAAUAUACAACAGCUGCUAACACCAACAAUGAAGUGUACCAUCCAUGGAUUGACCUAGAGAAAGGACACACACCAUUAGCAUCGGGUUAUCCAGAACGACGCUGUAUUUUAUAUUAAACGAAGCAACAGUCAGAUUUAUAUGGAACGGUAGGGUUAUAAUCAUAUUAAUCAUUUGGCAGAAUGUUGUCAUCAUUUGUUGCAUCACGAUGACCCAUGAGACAUUUCUUUAUUAAAUACUCACAUUAAACACAACUUCAUGUUGAAUCUUUGUAGCGUUUCCCACAGACCAGGUAACAAUGUGUGGCGGGGUAACGCCUCACGCCCACUGCGCCGUCAGUCAAAGGACGUCGAGCGAUGGGGGAGCUUUCCGGGGUCGUAAGAGCCCGAGACAUUGCACACGCGAUCUGAUUGGAUGACGGAUCCGUCGGUGCCGAAAAAGUUUAACAUUUUUCAACUUUUUGACAAAUGGAUCCACUAUUCACGGCCUGGGGGGGCCAACAUCGUAAUGUAUAAACUAUAACCGCACUUCACUGCUGCGCCAAACAUUGGUCUACGGGGAAACACUGCGUUGACUUGAGUCACCAGUAGAAUCAACCUGAAGGGCAAAAGGAAUAAUAAUCAGAACAAUGCCAACUAGGGAAAGCGGGCUGUUUGUAAUGUAGCAACAAUCAGAGUAAUAUGGAAACGGUAGGGUUAUAAUCAUAUUAAUCAUUUGGCAGAAUAGUUUCAUCAUUUGUUGCCUAUAAAUACAUGUGUGCAUAUCGUGAUCAGUAACUCACCAAUGAAUCCGAUUUGGCAUCCACCUUUUAGGAAAGAAAGCAAACAACUGUGAGGCACACUUUAGAGUCAAGGAGAAGCGUGUCAACUAGCAGGUUACUCAGUAAGUUGACUGUCCACAUUUAUGUUCAGGUCAGACAUUUGUGACAUCACAGAACCCACAAAGCCAAUCACUUUAGAUGCUGGAAACUCACCUUUGACAUGGCCUUCGCUUCCUCAAAAUCCUAGACCAAAAACAUAAACACAAUGAGUGCAAGGCAUUGAAGCGACAUGUCAUCAGAAUGUUGCUCAGACCUCAUUCAGCUAGAGCUAAUAGAUUAGACUCCACGGUUAUGUCAGCAUCCCUUUAUCAUCACAAAGGCCAGACUAUUUGAAACCCAUUAGCCCAUGAUAGCCAGUGAGACACACUUGGCUCCCAUGCAAGCGCUAUAUGCCUGGGUGCUGUGGAUUUAUGCAUGUUACCAUUUACCUUUUACUAUUUCUAGAGGUGCUUUCAAGGGCAGGAUACAAGUCAUCUUCUCCUGAAAGGCAAGAGUAGACUUUGUUUAGGACUUUAGAUAGAGAAGUACAUUUUCUUGGUGCAUUAGAUCUCAAUCAGAAUUGUUUUAUCCUCAAUGUGAUCAGUGACCUGAUUCAAUAGCAUCAUGUUAAGAUAGUUACUAGAAAGCACGAGUUGCUGGGCAUCUUGAGCGGAAAAUAUACAUACCAUGGAGGCUUUCUGGAACCGGCAGUAGACCAAGCCACCUGAUAAGAAGAGAAGGGCAUUAGAAUGUGUAGCUGCAGGGAGUGUAACAAACUGAUGUUGGAAGACGAUACAUCAGAUAGGGGCGAAAGACAAAUGAUCCCCGUUUCAACAUGGUUAUUCAGCUGAACUAUAAUCUCAUCAUUGUAUCAGAAUUUUGAAUCUGUCCUUCAGGAAAGAAACCUACCAAGUUGACCGCUACCGCCUCAUGCUCAGGAGUAAACUGCAUCUCUCCAGUCUGAAAUAAAAGAGGCAACAUUAGCCCACUUCCAAUUAGAUGAACUGAAUAUAGUUAAAACAUAUACUCAGAUAGGGGCGAAAGACAAAUGAUCCCCGUUUCAACAUGGUUAUUCAGCUGAACUAUAAUCUCAUCAUUGUAUCAGCAUUCUGAAUCUGUCCUUCAGGAAAGAAACCUACCAAGUUGACCGCUACCGCCUCAUGCUCAGAAGUAAACUGCAUCUCUCCAGUCUGAAAUAAAAGAGGCAACAUUAGCCCACUUCCUCCAAUUAGAUGAACUGAAUAUAGUUAAAAAAUAUACUCAGAUAGGGGCGAAAGACAAAUGAUCCCCGUUUCAACAUGGUUAUUCAGCUGAACUAUAAUCUCAUCAUUGUAUUAGCAUACAGAAACCGUCAAAGAAAGAAACUUACCAAGUAGUCCCAUCGCCUUGCGAUAAGCAAUGCGAAGCACAUCCCGAGGCUGAAAAGGCAGGCAGAGGCAACUUUAACAAACGUCUUCCAGUGAGACAAAUUAAACCUAGCUACAACAUGAACUCAGAUAGGGGCGAAAGACAAAUGAUCCCCGUUUCAACAUGGUUAUUCAGCUGAACUAUAAUCUCAUCAUUGUAGCCGGACAGAUUUCAAUCUACAAAUCACAAAUCUCACCUUUCUAGUUUAUUGGGAGACUGCACUUCAGGGAGGCAUCUGCCACUUCCGAUCCUGAGGAAAAGCAGGAACAUUAGUUAGAGCACCUCCCAUAUCAAGCUGAUCAGGCAUGCUGCUUGACCGUAAACAUCAGAUAGGGGCGAAAGACAAAUGAUCCCCGUUUCAACAUGAUUAUUCAGCUGAACUAUAAUCUCAUCAUUUUAGUAAAGUUAACCCAUGUUCCACCAGGACUGAAACUUACCAUCAACGAUCCGGGGAUGGAUGGUACACGAUGAGCACCUGUAAAUUCAUUAAAGUCAGUUAUAAAGGGCCAAGACUUGUGGAGGACAGCAAUAUUGGCUGGCACUGCAUCAGCAAUAAAGUUAUCCGUCAUUGUUAAUCAGAGAGAUUCCCAAUGUUUAUCAAACAUUGACAUCACUUAUAGUUUGAGGUUUACAUUAUUAGAGCAUCGGGUUUAGACAAGUUACCAUUCUUGGAGUCGAUCAAGUCAUCUGGAUGUCGAUCAUGUCAUCUGGAUAACUAUCAGCAUCUGUAAACAUGAGAUUACUAGAUUAGAUUUGAGUAACAAAUGUUUGACUCAAGUA
ensembl:lncRNA